AUUGAACGCUGGCGGCAGGCCUAACACAUGCAAGUCGAGCGGAUGAAGGGAGCUUGCUCCUGGAUUCAGCGGCGGACGGGUGAGUAAUGCCUAGGAAUCUGCCUGGUAGUGGGUGAUAACGUCCGGAAACGGGCGCUAAUACCGCAUACGUCCUGAGGGAGAAAGUGGGGGAUCUUCGGACCUCACGCUAUCAGAUGAGCCUAGGUCGGAUUAGCUAGUUGGUGGGGUAAAGGCCUACCAAGGCGACGAUCCGUAACUGGUCUGAGAGGAUGAUCAGUCACACUGGAACUGAGACACGGUCCAGACUCCUACGGGAGGCAGCAGUGGGGAAUAUUGGACAAUGGGCGAAAGCCUGAUCCAGCCAUGCCGCGUGUGUGAAGAAGGUCUUCGGAUUGUAAAGCACUUUAAGUUGGGAGGAAGGGCAGUAAGUUAAUACCUUGCUGUUUUGACGUUACCAACAGAAUAAGCACCGGCUAACUUCGU
rnacentral:rRNA from 1 species